rnacentral:siRNA from 1 species
AGAGGAUGUUGAGAGAGAACACUU